rnacentral:rRNA from 1 species
UACGUAGGGGGCUAGCGUUGUCCGGAAUCAUUGGGCGUAAAGCGCGUGUAGGCGGCUCGAUAAGUCCGGUGUGAAACCUUGGGGCUCAACCCCAAGCCUGCACUGGAUACUGCCGAGCUAGAGUCCGGGAGGGGAGAGCGGAAUUCCUAGUGUAGCGGUGAAAUGCGCAGAUAUUAGGAAGAACACCGGUGGCGAAGGCGGCUCUCUGGAACGGUACUGACGCUGAGACGCGAAAGCGUGGGGAGCGAACCGG